UGGGCGAUAGCUCAGUGGGAGAGCACCUGCCUUACACGCAGGGGUCAGCAGUUCGAGCCUGGUUCGCCCAC
rnacentral:tRNA from 1 species